UACGUAGGGUGCAAGCGUUGUCCGGAAUUAUUGGGCGUAAAGAGCUCGUAGGCGGCUCGUCGCGUCGGCUGUGAAAACCUGGGGCUCAACCCCGGGCCUGCAGCCGAUACGGGCGAGCUAGAAUUCGGUAGGGGAGACUGGAAUUCCUGGUGUAGCGGUGAAAUGCGCAGAGUAUCAGGAGGAACACCGGUGGCGAAGGCGGGUCUCUGGGCCGAUAUUGACGCUGAGGAGCGAAAGCGUGGGGAGCGAACAGG
rnacentral:rRNA from 1 species